rnacentral:rRNA from 1 species
UGGGGAAUAUUGCACAAUGGGCGCAAGCCUGAUGCAGCCAUGCCGCGUGUGUGAAGAAGGCCUUCGGGUUGUAAAGCACUUUCAGCGGGGAGGAAGGCGAUAAGGUUAAUAACCUUGUCGAUUGACGUUACCCGCAGAAGAAGCACCGGCUAACUCCGUGCCAGCAGCCGCGGUAAUACGGAGGGUGCAAGCGUUAAUCGGAAUUACUGGGCGUAAAGCGCACGCAGGCGGUCUGUCAAGUCGGAUGUGAAAUCCCCGGGCUUAACCUGGGAACUGCAUUCGAAACUGGCAGGCUAGAGUCUUGUAGGGGGGGGUAGAAGUCCUGGUGUAGCGGUGAAAUGCGUAGAGAUCUGGAGGAAUACCGGUGGCGAAGGCGGCCCCCUGGACAAAGACUGACGCUCAGGUGCGAAGGCGUGGGGAGCAAACAGG